AGGAUGAACGCUAGCGGCAGGCCUAAUACAUGCAAGUCGAACGAUACCAGAGAGCUUGCUUUCUGGGAAAGUGGCGCACGGGUGCGUAACGCGUAUGCAACCUACCUUAAUCAGGGGGAUAGCCUCUCGAAAGAGAGAUUAACACCGCAUAAAAUCACAAGCUGGCAUCAGCAAAUGAUCAAAUAUUUAUAGGAUUAAGAUGGGCAUGCGUGACAUUAGCUAGUUGGUAAGGUAACGGCUUACCAAGGCUACGAUGUCGUAGGGGAUCUGAGAGGACUCGACCCCCCCACACUGGUACUGAGACACGGACCAGACUCCGUACGGGAGGCAGCAAGUAAGGAAUUAGUUGUACGAAGGUCGGGGGACCAACCCUGGAACCAGCCAGUCGCCGUCGGUA
rnacentral:rRNA from 1 species